rnacentral:lncRNA from 12 species
AUGCAGGCCACUGUCACCCAAGACUUCUGCAGUUACCUUGUGCCUUCUCUUUCAGCUUCCACUCUUGCUUCUCCUCCAUUUCAUUCCACACCCAUUUCACCUAUCCUUUACUGCUCCGCCCCCUACCCCAUGGCAACCACCAAUCUAUUCUCUAUGAGCUGCUUUUUUUUUUUUAAUAUUCCACAUAUAAAUGGGAUUCCUGUCACAUCUAAGUGUCUUUGCCUGUCUGAGUUAUUUCACUUAGCAGAAUGCCUUUGCAGUCCAUGCAUGUUGUCUCAAAUGGCAGGAUUUCCUUCUUUUUUAUGGUUGAAAAAUAUCUCACUGUGUGUAUAUACACGAGAUUUUCUUUAUCCACUCAUCCAUCAGUGAACACUUAAAUUGUUUCCAUAUCUUGUCUAUUGUGAAUAAUGCUGCAGUGAACAUGGCAGGGUAGAUAUCUUUUGUGAGUUAGUGUUUUUGUUUUCUCCAGAUAAAUAUACAGAAGUACAAUUGUUGGAUUAUAUGGUAGUUCUAUUUUUAAUUUUUUGAGGAACCCCCAUACUAUUUCCUUAGUGGCUGCACCAAAUUACAUUCCCACCCAUAGUACAUAGAGUUCCCUUUUCUCCACAUCACCACUUAUUUCUUGCUUUUUAAAUAAUAACCAUUAUAACAGAUGUGAGGUGAUAUCUCAUUUCCUCAAUAAUUAUUGAUAUUGAGUAUCUUUUCACAAGCCUAUUGGCUAUGUGUAUAUCAGUUUUUUUUAAUUCAUGAGAGUGAGAGAGAGAGAGAGGCAGAGAGAAAGGCAGCCUCCAUGCAGGGAGCCCGAUGUGGGACUCCAUCCCGGGUCUCCAGGAUCACAUCCAGGGCCAAAGGUGGCGCUAAACUGCUGAGCCACCCGGGCUGCCCAUCAAUUGGUAUUUUUAAAAAAGGUUUUAUUUAUUUAUUUGAAAGAUUGAGAGAGAGAGAGAGAGAGAGAGAGAGAGAGCAUGCACACACACAAGCCGGGGGGGGGGGCGGUGCAGAGGGAGAGAGACCAGCAGAUUCCAUGCUGAGCGGGGAGCCCAAUGUGGGGUUUGAUCCUAGAGAUCCUGACCUUAGCCACCUAGGCACCCUUUAAUUGGUAUAUUUUAAAAGCACCACAGAUGAUUCUGAUGUGUGGCUUUGGUUGGGAACUCUGGGUGAUUAGAGUAGCAACUGUAGUAGGUUCCCCCAGCAUAGGUGGAAAUUGUUCUAGGAGUAAAUUCAGAGUACAAAAACUCUAGUCCUGCUCGGUGGCUGGGAUAUUGCUCAGGGUUCUAAGGGGGUGUAUGUGUUGUCAUUUGUGGUGCUAUUUCUUCAGUCUCCAGUCCUAGCCCUUAGGUGGGUGGUCCCCUACUGCCGAUCCCCAUCUUUAUUCUAGAGAGCUCUUCUCAUAACUUAGCCUUCCUGAGAGCCCUGGGGGAUACAGCUUUUCUAUGGAUCUUUAUUCUCCUACCAAUCCCUGGCCCACUUCCACUUCCACAUGCAGCUUCUACUGUCUCUGAAUUUGGGUUUGCUUCCCCCCCCCUCCCCCCCCGCAGUUCUCUUGGGCACACUCACAUUUUUGGAAGUCUUUUGCUCAGUUUCAGUUGCAGGUUCCUCUAGUGGUUAGCACUGUUACUAUUCAGUUCUGAUGGCUUGAGGGGGUGAGCAGAAUUCCUUAUGGUUCUCCUGAUGGCAUGUUUCCAGUUUAUCCUGUGCUCUGUGGACUUAUUCGUCUCUUAUAUUUUUAUAACGUAUACUCUUACUGUUACAAAUAUAUAGUCUUUUAUAUUGUCAUUUUAAGGAAGGGGAGAAGUAUGUUCUAAUGCUUCAUUAUUUGUCAUGAACCAGAAGUCCCCAAACACUUUUUGGUUACCUCUGAAAAGUGUCAGAUAUACAAAGGAUUAAGCAGACUCUUCAGAGAUGGGGAGCUAUAGUGGUUUCACCAAAUGAAAAAUGACUUUAUUCCGUUAGUGAAAAAUGCAUUUAAAGUCACAAGAUGCCAUUUUCACAUAUCAAAUUAGCAAGGUGUGUUGAGGGAGUAGGUGUGGUGGGGGAGAGCUUAUGAGGGAUGGGAGGUAUGUAUAAAAGAGAAUUUAAUCCCAGCAAGGGUGUGGGAGUAUGGACAUUCUUAUAUACUGUUUGUGGAAUGCAAAUUGAUACAAUUCUUAAUGUGGUUUGGCAAUAUGGGCCUUAAAAAUGUUCAUACUUUUGGGUGCCUUGAUGGCUUAGUUAAGCAUCUGACUAUCUCAGCUCAAGUCUUGAUCUCAAGAUCAUGAGUUCAAGCCCAGCAUGGAGCCUACUUAAAAAGUCCAUACUUUUUUUUUUUUAAGGUUUUAUUUAUUUAUUUAUUUAUUUAUUCAUUCAUUCAUUCAUUCAUUCAUUCAUUCAUUCAUUCAUGAAAGACAGAGAGAGAGAGGAGGGGGGGGUAGGCAGAGACACAGGCAGAGGGAGAAGCAGGCUCCAUGCAGGGAGCCUGACAUGGGACUCAAUUCCCAGACUCCAGGAUCACACCCUAGACCGAAGGCAGACGCUAAACCGCUGAGCCACCUAGAGAUUCCCAAAAGUUCAUACUUUUUAACCCAGGGAUUUAAAUGCUAUCUAUCCCAAGGAAACCUAUGGAGAAAUGUUUAUCCCCACAUUAUAAAGUAAAUAAAAACAAAACCACAAUGAACA